rnacentral:misc_RNA from 1 species
AUGCUGUUAGUAAUGUCAGUGAGGUAAGCUAAUUUGGAUGUUUUCUAGGUUUGCAGGCAUUUCAUGACAUUUUGUUCUUCUUAUGGUCGUGCAGUGAAUUUUCUCUUUUUCUCUAUUGCCUAUUUUGACUUCCCAAAAAGUCAGCCCCAGCCCUGGGUCAGCGUGGAAUGUAGGGGAUUGCUUUAGAUAAUGCCUCUUUUUGCUUUUUUCCCUACCACUUUUUCUUUAGCUUUAUUCAUAGAAGUGUGAAAAUUUAGUAUGGGAAGGAGUGAGAAGGGGGAAAAGCAGACUUAAGAUGUCGUGGAGGGAGGUGGUUUCAAAAGACUUAAUAGUUUUGGAUAUUGAUGUGGAGUUGGUGUCUAACAGAGUUGAAUGGCUAAAAAGGAUCUAUAUAGCCGACCCCAACUAGUUU